rnacentral:rRNA from 1 species
UACGAAGGGGGCGAGCGUUGUUCGGAUUUACUGGGCGUAAAGGGCGCGCAGGCGGCUCAUUUUGUCAGGCGUGAAAGCCCCGGGCUUAACCUGGGAACUGCGUUUGAUACGGAUGGGCUAGAGUUCGGGAGAGGAGAGUGGAAUUCCCAGUGUAGAGGUGAAAUUCGUAGAUAUGGGAAGAACACCGGUGGCGAAGGCGGCUCUCUGGACCGAUACUGACGCUGAGGCGGCGAAAAGCGUGGGGAGCAAACAGGG